AGCAGUAGCCGCGGGAAUACGUAGGUGGCAAGCGUUGUCCGGAAUUAUUGGGCGUAAAGGGCUCGCAGGCGGUUUCUUAAGUCUGAUGUGAAAGCCCCCGGCUCAACCGGGGAGGGUCAUUGGAAACUGAGAAACUUGAGUGCAGAAGAGGAGAGUGGAAUUCCACGUGUAGCGGUGAAAUGCGUAGAGAUGUGGAGGAACACCAGUGGCGAAGGCGACUCUCUGGUCUGUAACUGACGCUGAGGAGCGAAAGCGUGGGGAGCGAACAGGAUUAGAUACCCCCGUAGUCCCUGUCUCUUAUAC
rnacentral:rRNA from 1 species